rnacentral:rRNA from 1 species
UACGUAGGGGGCAAGCGUUGUCCGGAUUUAUUGGGCGUAAAGAGCGUGUAGGCGGCCAUACAGGUCCGUUGUGAAAACUCGAGGCCUAACCUCGAGACGUCGAUGGAAACCGUAUGGCUAGAGUCCGGAAGAGGAGAGUGGAAUUCCUGGUGUAGCGGUGAAAUGCGCAGAUAUCAGGAAGAACACCCGUGGCGAAGGCGGCUCUCUGGGACGGUACUGACGCUGAGACGCGAAAGCGUGGGGAGCGAACAGG